CGGAAACAUCGACAAAAUGUUAAUAUGGUGAAUGCAUUGAUUGGAAAAGAUAUAGACAUCUGCUCAAACAUAACACUGUUGUUUUUUUCCUCCUCAAGAUCCACCAAAAUGGCAAUAUUUCCCAGCUCACUGGCAGAGGAGGAGGAAGCACUGCAGAAGAAAUAUGCUAAACUAAAGAAAAAGAGAUCUUUUGACAGUGCCUUGCCACCCAUAGUUGAUUGUUUGCUUCAGUUGCUCAACCAAGGACUGAAAUGAUGCAGGAAAGAUCUGUUCAUGCCGAGCGAAUCAAAACGACCACAGGAAAGGGCCCUAAUGGCUCUGAAGAAACAGAGCUCCACCAAUCAGACGAGUCAGCUAUAACUGAAGUGCACUCUGUCAGAUCAGCCGGUGGUGGACACAGCGAAUGCAAUGGAGCGGGCCAAAAUGCUGAUCGUGUCUUGAGUGAUCAGCACCAUCAAAUCAGAGAACAAGAAAUCUGGCUUCACGCGCUCCAGAACACUUGAGGGUAAACUGAAAGAUCCUGAGAAAGGUUCUGCCCCAGCAUUCCUGCCAUUUCAAAGAAGUGUCUCUACAGAUGAAGAGCCUCCUGAUGUAAUGUUGUUUUACACUGUACAGAUGAUCCACUCAAGGCUGCAUUUAUUUAAUCAAAAAUACAGUAAAACAGUCAUCUUUUUUUAAAUGUUAAAAUAACUGCGUUCUAUUUGAAAAUUAAUACAAUUAUUCCCAUGAUGCAAUGCUGAAUUCUCAGCAUCAUCAUUACUCCAGUCUUCGGUGUGACACGAUCCUUCAGAAUUCAUUCUAAUAUAGGGAUUUUUUUUAGACAUUGUAACACAUCAACACAUUGGUCACAAUAUUAACAUUUUUACUGUAAUUUGCAGCCUUUCAACAGGUUGUUUUUUCUGCUGUACCUUUAAGAAUUCUAUACAUAACUAGCCCCAGUUUUGACAGGCUUCACUUUACAUGUAAUUAUGGCAUUUGUCAGGCAUGUAUUGUAAGUGGUGAAUAAAGACUAGAGGUGAUCCAUACUUGAUUCUAUAUUUGUCAUAUACAAGGCCAUAACGGCAGAAUAAUUUGUCUAUCCAAACUUUGUACAUGCGCAAUAUUAACUUGUACAGUAACAUGAUUUAAGCAAAAGAUGUUACUUUUUUAGUAUUAUUUAUAUACCAAUAUUUUGAAAGAUUCUAUGAUUUUUAUUAGUACUAUUGUUGUUACUUAAAAUACGUUUCUGUGUAGUGAUUGCUUUUUAAAGAAAAUAAUAUAUUAUUGUAAAUUAUAUUGUUAAUGUUGCCAUGAAUAUAGCCACUGUUGAUGAUAAGGCGUUUAAACAAGUAAAUUAAAUGCAUAGCAAUAUGUUCAGCCAUUUUUAUUCUUCGGCGCCCAGGGAGCAGUUCAGCAGCCCAGGGGGGGUUCAGUGUCAUGCUCAAGGGCACCUCAGUCGUGGUAUUGCCAGCCCAAGACUCAAACCCACAACCUUUGGGUCAGGAGUCAAACUCUCUAACCACUAGGCCAUGACAUCCCCGGCAUGUUGUAUUAUUGAAGAAAAAUCUUGUUUUCUGUGAUCGGACCCCUUUAAAAGUGUUAGGAUUGACCACAUCUUUAUUUAUUUUUAGAAAGAAACCCCUGUUUAUCCACUCCUUCUGUCUCUCAGCUGAAUGGCACUACUGUGGGUAACGUCGACAUCAAAGUCAGCAUUGCCAAGAAGCAGCCCAUGCUAAAUGCUGCCACAGGGAAAUCUGUCUGGGCUUCUCUUGGUAAAUAAAGACAUUUCACAGGAAAACAAAAAUAUUGAUGUGUUGCACACUUGACUAACCCAAAUCUAUUUGUCUCCUUAACUUGCUUGUGCUGCUUUCAUCCUUCACAGCUGUGCAGAACAGUCAAACGGAGCCAGGUCGUCUACAGUCAAGACUUCCUCAUGUUAAACUACGAAAAAUGUCCAGUGUGAAGAAGUAAAUCUGUUACUUUUCUGUCAUUUUUAUUUGCACAGCAUUUUAGCAUUUUUAAAGAUCGGUGUAUCUGGACAUUUAGCUCAUUCAUGGAUUUGUCAUUCUGUUCAGUAAAUAAUCAAUCAACUUUUCCAUCGGGAUGCCUGGGCUGACUUCAUAAUAUGAAAAAACACAUAACCUCAAUGAAACAUCUUCAGAGUUUGACAGGCAGAAAAUAUAAGCCAGUUUUUAGAGGUGAUAAAGCAAAUCUGAGCUUUGUAUAGAUGGAUUUUGUAUUUGAUUAUGAAUAAUAACUGAUUAACUACAGACCUCAGCUCUGUGAAACAUGUCCACAACAUUAGAUGGUAUUGAUGAAAUGAGUUCAGACCUUCCAGUGCUCUUUGCCUAAAGGGAAACAACAUGCUGAGAACACAAAUACAGAGACAUGCACUGUUAUAUAAACUCUGCAUACUAAUAAUGAUAACAUUAUAUCAGAUUUAGAUUGAACUGUUUUAGAGUUUUCCUUUUU